GAUGAACGCUAGCGGCAGGCCUAAUACAUGCAAGUCGAACGGUAACAUGAGUAGCAAUACUUGAUGACGAGUGGCGCACGGGUGCGUAACGCGUAUGCAAUCUACCUUUAACCGGUGAAUAGCCCGAAGAAAUUCGGAUUAAUACUCCAUAAUAGAAGAUAAAGCAUUUUAUUUCUUGAAAGUUCCGACGGUGAUGGAUGAACAUGCGACUGAUUAGUUUGUUGGUGAGGUAACGGCUCACCAAGACUACGAUCAGUAGGGGUACUGAGAGGUUAAACCCCCACACUGGUACUGAGACACGGACCAGACUCCUACGGGAGGCAGCAGUAAGGAAUAUUGGACAAUGGCCGCAAGGCUGAUCCAGCCAUGCCGCGUGCAGGAAGACGGACCUAUGGUUUGUAAACUGC
rnacentral:rRNA from 1 species